CAGUGCAUUGGCUACUGUAAGCCAAGGGCGGUAGCAUG
rfam:Yersinia bercovieri ATCC 43970 contig01191, whole genome shotgun sequence.